AAGGUAAGCUAGAUGAUCGCGGGCGGCUGCAAGGCCGCUUGAGGAAAGUCCGGGCUCCAUAGGACAUGAUGCCGGGUAACACCCGGGAGCGGUAACGCUAUAGAGAGCGCCACAGAAAAUAUACCGCCGGUUUACCGGUAAGGGUGAAAUGGUGGGGUAAGAGCCCACCGCAUCUCUGGUAACAGGGAUGGCAGGGCAAGCCUCGUCAGGAGCAAGACCAAGCAGCAGGUAGGACGGUCCGUCUUUUGCCUGCGGGUAGGUUGCUAGAACCUAUUGGUAACAAUAGGUGCAGAUAGAUGAUCAUCAGAUACAGAACCCGGCUUAUUGCUUACCUUUUUU
rnacentral:RNase_P_RNA from 1 species